GGGACGGUAAGGUAGGGUAAGGUAAGGUAAGGUACGGUAAGGUAAGGUAAAGUAAAGGAAUGCAAGACAAGGUACGGCAAGGAAAGGGAAGGGAAGAUGAAGUAAGGUAAGGUAAGGUAAGGUAAGGUAAGGGCAAGGCAAGGAAAGGUAAGGUAAAGUAAGGGAAGGAAAGUUAAGGUUAGGUUAGGUAAGCUAAGGUGAGGUAAGGUAAGGUUAGGUAAGGCAAGGUUAGGUAAGCUAAGGUGAGGUAAGGUAAGGUUAGGUAAGGCAAGGUUAGGUAAGCUAAGGUGAGGUAAGGUAAGGUUAGGUAAGGCAAGGUUAGGUAAGCUAAGGUGAGGUAAGGUAAGGUUAGGUAAGGCAAGGUAACGCAAAUUAAGGUACGAAGCUAAAAUGACACAGAGACAAAGAAAGAGCCAUUAAUUCCAGCAGGCAGCGUUCACUAUAGCAGCGCCGCGCCACCUGGAAGUGAAAACAGCCAUUAGCGAAGAGAGACGAAAGUUCCGCUGCUGAUUAGUCUCUACCUGGACUCAUUACCUGCCCUGCCACACCUCGCCCUCCCCCCCCCCCUCCCCACCUUUACCUUCCUGAGACGGCGUUUAAGGGGAGUACGCAUGCCUCCCCUACACCCUUCACCAUCUCUUCCCUACCCAUUCUCACUCUCCUUUCUUCCCUUUCCCUCCCCACCGACGUAUGAAGAGGAAAGGUUAGGUUAGGUUAGGUUAGGUUAGGUUAGGUUA